rnacentral:lncRNA from 1 species
AGAACGCGAGGCAGGACGCUGGGGAAGGCUGGGCAUCUUCAGCCUGCGCGCUGCAACUAUGGCUUGCGGGGUAGUCUUGGAGGCGGGACCGUCGCUUUCGCAGGGACGCAGGUGACACCUCUUCCAGUCGGUCCUCAGACUCCGGGAAUGAUUCUUGUGGUUACCCUGAUGCGAUUCCGCCAGAGUCCUCCAAUUGGCCUGGGCAGUAGCCAUCGGGUGCAAAGCGGCUUGGGAAAAUGCACGGCUGUCAAGUACAUAGUCCAUAAAGGUGAGAGGUACGGCUAAGUCUCCAUGCGCCCUCUUAGCUGGCAGUACCUGGGAUCACUCCUGGAGCCCUCAUUUCAGAUUCUGCAGGAACUCCAGGGCUCAUGUUGUCAUUCAGAGGCAAGGACAAGAGGGAGGAAGACCGGGCUCAAUGGAAACCCCUCAGAAUUCCAGCACUUGGGAGGCGGAGACAAAAGCAUCAAUAGUUCCCAGUCAUCCUUGGCUGUAUACGGAGUGGGUGCAGCCAGCUGGGUUAAAAAGAGUAAAGGGACCCAGAGUUAAGGUUAUCACUACUUUCAGGUGUCCAGUGGCCUGUCCACAAGAUUAUCUACGAAGGGAUUCUCAGAUUCUCAACUCAAUUGGACUGUCCUGUUGGCCUGGGUUUCUUUUGUCCAAAUGAUGUAGAUUGUAGGGGUCCCCCAGCCCAGUCUCAAGUUGUACCCCCAGAGGUUGGGGGUCUUAUCAUUUCUGUCUUGGUGAUACUUCCUUCUGGAAACAGAAGUUGUUAUAUGAGACAGCCUUGGCCCAGCUAUUCCACUUCUACAGACGGACUGGGUGUGCUGCCACCCCAUAUUUUUAUAAGGAGCCAACACGGCUCUUUUGUGACUAAGAGGACAUUUUGCACUGUGGAGUCAGUAGACUUCAAACUCCAAGCCUCCAAAUGCCUUCACCAUCAUGGUGCCCAGCCCAAGAACCUGUCCUCUUAACACUGAUAAGUUACCUGGAGAGCCCCCUUGUGGUUACAGUCAGUGUUAACACCCAAGGCCCCCCUGAAGAAGUGUUUAUAGAGCGGGGUCCUGGAGUCCCUGAGGCAGAACCGUACAAGAGCUUGGUCUGGCCAAAACUACAGCUGAAAUUGCUCCACAAACUGAGCUGGUGGAAGUAAAAAGUUCUGGAUUCACCCCACAGAUAACUUUCAACCUGGUCAUUAUGUCCCUAUACUUUUGUCACUUUUAAGUGACUUACUCUAGUCAAGUUAGUAGGACAGGAGAUAUGCCCUACCCCAAUGGAAGGGCAGUGGCCUCUUGGAAGGUGGUGUGAGCAGGGAUCAGCUAAACAAUCUGGGUGCAAACCUGGGCAUGAGGCCCUGUUCUCUGCAAGUCACUGCAGCCUCAAUGGCGGAAUGGGGACAGUAGCAAUGGUUCCUUUAAGGGACUUGGGAGAGGAAGCUCAGUGGUCAGAUCAGCUAGCGAGUGCAGCAGUCCUGAAAUGGAUAGUGCCAUCCAUUCACUCCUAUAGGACUGGUGCUCCCCACAAGACGUACAAGUCUUGACCACAAACUGUGUACCUCACAUCCCCUUAACAUUGAGUUCUGCUAAGUAAGAUGCCUUUAUUCUUUAUUCUAAGGGAGAGCCCUCCACCUGAGGACCCAAUAUGUCUUUACACAUAGAAGCAGAUAUGACCAAACCCUUUAGGCUCUUCAGGGGACAAAACAGGGUGUUGGGUGGUGACAGACUAUGACCUGCAAGAAGUUGAUGCUGACUAACCGCUCAGGCUCCACAGGAACAGGGAGUAGAACAGGGAAACCAUAAAGAGCAACUCGGGGGUUUUAUUCACUUAUUUAUUCACCGAUUAAACAACCAGUGGACACACCUCUGUAAUUUAAAAAAAAAAAAAAAAAA